GAUGAACGCUAGCGACAGGCCUAACACAUGCAAGUCGAGGGGCAGCACAAGGAGCAAUCUGAGGUGGCGACCGGCGCACGGGUGAGUAACACGUAUGCAACCUGCCUGUAAGAGGGGAAUAACCCGGAGAAAUUCGGACUAAUACCGCAUAUACCACGAGACUGCAUGGUUUUGUGGUUAAACAUUUAUGGCUUACAGAUGGGCAUGCGUAUGAUUAGCUAGUAGGUGAGGUAACGGCUCACCUAGGCAACGAUCAUUAGGGGUUCUGAGAGGAAGGUCCCCCACACUGGUACGGAGACACGGACCAGACUCCUACGGGAGGCAGCAGUGAGGAAUAUUGGUCAAUGGGCGAGAGCCUGAACCAGCCAGGUCGCGUGAAGGAAGGAGGUUCUAUGGAUUGUAAACUUCUUUUGUAAGGGAAUAAAAAGUGGUACGUGUACCAUAUUGUAUGUACUUUACGAAUAAGGAUCGGCUAACUCCGUGCCAGCCGCCGCAGUAACAC
rnacentral:rRNA from 1 species